rnacentral:rRNA from 1 species
UACGGGGGGAGCAAGCGUUGUUCGGAUUUACUGGGCGUAAAGGGCGCGUAGGCGGCCAGCACAAGUCAGUUGUGAAAUCUCGAGGCUCAACCUCGAGAUGUCGGUGGAAACUGCCUGGCUAGAGUCCGGAAGAGGAGUGUGGAAUUCCUGGUGUAGCGGUGAAAUGCGCAGAUAUCAGGAAGAACACCUAUGGCGAAGGCAGCACUCUGGGACGGUACUGACGCUGAGACGCGAAAGCGUGGGGAGCGAACAGG